AGAGUUUGAUCAUGGCUCAGAACGAACGCUGGCGGCGUGUUUAAGACAUGCAAGUCGCACGGAGAAACAAGGGUAUUUAUAUUUUUGUUUUUCAGUGGCGCACGGGUGAGUAACACGUGAAUUACAUGCCCUUGAGUGGGGAAUAGCCCAGGGAAACUUGGAUUAAUACCCCAUGGUAUCGAAAGAUUAAAGGUGGCCAGCAAUGGCUGUCGCUCAAGGAUUGGUUCGCGCCCUAUCAGCUUGUUGGAGAGGUAACGGCUCACCAAGGCAAUGACGGGUACCUGGUCUGAGAGGACGAUCAGGCACACUGGAACUGAGACACGGUCCAGACACCUACGGGUGGCAGCAGUCGAGAAUAAUUCACAAUGGGGGCAACCCUGAUGGUGCAACGCCGCGUGGAGGAUGACGGUCUUAGGAUUGUAAACUCCUGUCAUCUGGGAGAAAAACCUGGUCGUUAAUAGCGAACAGGGUUGAUAGUACCAGAAGAGGAAGGGACGGCUAACUUCGUGCCAGCAGCCGCGGUAAUACGAAGGUCCCGAGCGUUGUUCGGAAUCACUGGGCGUAAAGGGAGCGUAGGCGGCGCGGUAAGUCGGAUGUGAAAUCCCGAGGCUCAACCUCGGAACUGCAUCUGAUACUGCCGUGCUAGAGUAAUGGAGGGGUAGCUGGAAUUCUCGGUGUAGCAGUGAAAUGCGUAGAUAUCGAGAGGAACACUCGUGGCGAAAGCGAGCUACUGGACAUUUACUGACGCUGAGGCUCGAAGGCUAGGGGAGCGAAAGGGAUUAGAUACCCCUGUAGUCCUAGCAGUAAACGGUGCACGCUUGGUGCGAGGGGAAUCGACCCCCCUCGUGCCGGAGCUAACCGCGUUAAGCUGCCGCCUG
rnacentral:rRNA from 1 species